AGUGAACGCUGGCGGUGGGCUUAACACAUGCAAGUCGAACGGAACCCCAGUUAUAGCUUGCUCUUACGGGUGGCGUGUUGUGGCUGGGUGACGAACACAUCGGUAUCUCCUUUUUCAUCUGGCUUAACGAAGGGGAACUUACGCUAAUACCGCAUCCGAUCUCCCGGUGACAGCCGGGAUUCUUUGGACCUUUCGCGAUUGCUUGAGUCGAUGUCGGUUUAGCUAGUUUGCGGGGUCAAGGUGCACCAGUGCGAGGACCCGUAGCUGCUCUGCGAGGAUGAUCAGCCACACGGGAACUGAGACACGGUCCAGACUCCGACGGGGGGCAGCAGUGGGGAAUAUUGGACAAUGGGCGCAAGCCUGAUCCAGCCAUACCGCGUAGGUGAAGAAGGCCUGCGGGUUGGAGAGCCCUUAUGUUGGGAAAGAAAAGCAGCAGGUUAAGACCCCGCGGUUCUGACGGUACCCAAAGAAUAAGCACCGGCUAACUUCGUG
rnacentral:rRNA from 1 species